AUGUUUCCCAUGUAGGAUGUUUUCAGUCCUUUGUAGGAGUGCAUUUUGUAAUUCUGUUGGACCUAAAAUGUGAGAGGAAAAAAAAUAAUUUUCUUGUAGGUUCCUGCCGUUGUUGAUCAGGCUGGUUGCAAUGCAAAUGAGGAUAUAAAUUUUAGAUUCACCGGGCAUGCUCAGUUUCUUUAGGUUAUUAUUAUUAUUAUUUUAAAUAUAUAUGAAACCUAUGGUAUUUUAUUCAUGUUGUCAACUCUCUUUGCAUCUCUAGCAUUGUUCUUUCCAAAUUUAUUUGCUUCCAUAUUGUGCUGUGUAUCACUCUCCUAAAUAUCCUAUGUUUGUAGGUUCACCGUGUCUGGAAAAGUUGUGGGAUCUGUUGGUGGAGAGAGCUGUUCAAAUAAAAAUGGGGGUCCAUCAAAUGUAAAUGUUGAGCUUUUAUCUCCCACGGGUGAUCUUGUCACAUCUGUUUUAAGAUCACCAACAGGAAGUUACUCGUUCACUAGCAUUAUCCCAGGUCUGUAGUUCACUUGCUAGUGACCCAACAAAGGGUCGACUGUUCUAAACUUGUUCUGGAACUUCAUCUGAAAACCUCAUUUAACCAUCUCUAAAUAAUGUUAAUAAGUGUUUUCUGGAAAUAAUGAAUUUGACUUAUAGCAAACCAUAAUUUAUUCUCAGUAUUCUGGUUUUCUUGUUAUUCCUGUAAAUCUUACCUGAUGCUCUUCUUGUUUUUAAUUGUUAUUGAUUGUCAAGAACAUCGGUUCACUGACUUAACAUUAGCUGUUCUUGGGUUUAGGAAAAUACAAACUACGUGCUUCACGCCUUGAUUUUAAUGUUGAAGUUAGAGGUUCUGCAGAGGUCAGAUGCUUGUUUUCUUUUCAAAGGCUUUCUAUUUCGCCUUGCUGCUAUUUGUUGUGUGGCUCUCUCCCCCCAUACUCACCAAAAAACACACAUGUGCACGCCUAUAUAUUUUUGCUUGAGCUGCAACUACAUUUUACUUGUUGCAGGUUGAAUUGGGGUUUGAGAAUGGUUUGGUUGAUGACAUUUUCUUUGUCCCUGGCUAUGAUAUUCGUGGAUCUGUAGUUGCUCAGGUAAUUUUUUGCACUAAUAAUUGUUUCACAAAAUGCAAUUUCCUUGUAUUGCUUUCUUAUAAAAUAAGCUUUUCCAUUCUUUUCACUUUCAUAUUUUUACUUACUUAUUUCAUUUUAUAAAAUCUUUGGGAAUCAAGUGGGUUUGAGGUUGAAGGUCCCCGGUGGUUUGCGUAUUUUAUUCUGUGUCACUUGAUUAAAAAUUUCUUCUUUAAUAAAUUUUAUGUCAUUUAUCAUUUAAUUAUAAACUCUAGUGUGCAUGAACAAGAAUGAAUAUUAUAGGCUUUAUAGCAUUCGAACUGUGGAAAUAGAAUACUUUUACAGUAUUUUCCACAUCAAUUUGCAAUGAUUUAUCAACAAAAUAAUUCAAGGAUUUAUAUCGGCAUGUGUUUGUGUUUCUGCCAUGUGGCGUAGGUGAUGGAUGCCUCAAUGUUUUCUUUUCACAAAUUUAAAAUUAGUUUCAUAUAAACAGAGUUGUAUUUCUGGAUGUAGCAGUUUAUUGUUGUUUCGUUUCAGUUGAUAAAUUGUAGGCUGCUCCCAUCUUCGAUAUGUUAUAGUCUCUUUAACCUUCAAUUUACCGGAGUUUUCUUUCUCUGGUUAUUGACAAACAAGAGUCUUGAUAAGUAUGCACCCGUGUGUGUAUGUGGAUACGGAUAUAUGUUUGUUGAUAAGUAGAUGGAUCCUCACUUACCAAUUGGGAUUUGAAUCCUACAUCUUCCUUCUUUGGUGUGUUAGGAGAUGCGACUCAAGCUAACAGCUGAUGUUAUGCACACAUCAUUGCAUUCGUUAUUACGACUGAGUACAAGAUUGAUUUGGUCCGCAUGCUUGUACUAAUUUGUGUAUCAAUAGAUGUUAUUUCCAUUACUAGGUGACUUUCUCUGUUUCUGGUUAUGUUUGGUUGUUGUUGGUAUUUUAAUAAUGAAAAUGCUGAAAAUGCACCACAUUUCCUUAUGCUAUUCCUAUCACCUUAUAUGCAUAGUGUGACAUGUUUAAUUGCACAAAUGCAAUUUUGCUAUUGAGUAAUGUGGCUUUUUGAUAAUUUUGUUGUUUUCUUAGUUGCAACCUUGCAAAAUGUGAACCUUGGUAGUGGAAUACAGUCUUGGAUGCAAUUCCAUUUUCAACAAAUGCACUCCUUAGCUAGCAAAGCCAGUUAAUCUCAACCACCCCGUUUUGAGUAAACUGCUCACAGUAGUUGGUUUGACCUUCUUUUCAUAGAUGCCAUGCUCUAUUGUUUCGUAACAUGGUUUUAACUGUUUGGAGAUAGGAGACCCUGCAGAUAUCUGAAGAACUUGGGUGGACUGAUAGUGUCAUGCUUUAUUAUAAAGGGAGAUCCCGUCUUAGGGGUUCACAUUUAUUUAUACUCAAAUGAUAUCUCGAGGGUGGACUGUGCCCUUGGCUCUGGUAAUGCCCCUGGGCAAAGAAAAGCUCUCUGUCAUGCUGUCUCUGAUGCAGGGGGAAUGUUCACAUUUAAAUCAAUACCUUGCGAUUGAAGAUGAAUCAGUCAGAGAUCGAGGCAGAGAUACAUACUCUACGUGAUGGAGGUUUGUUGAUGUAGGCAAGCAUCUAUUGUCUCUGCCAUUUUCUUCAGUAUUCUCUGAUGUCUGACUCUGCUGAAAUUUGUAGAUUCACAAUUUAAUGUUGCACUAUAGUUAUGUCUUAUACCUAAACUAUCAUGAAUUGGCUUUUAUUCAGCAUUGUAUAUCUCAAUAUAAGUGCAUAACAUAAUUUUAAUUGGUCACUUCAAUUUGUCACUGUUGGAUGGAAACAGUCAUGUUAUAUAUGCAGAGGAAGAAGCUCUUGGAACUCGCCUUCUGAUUGAUGGAAGGACUUGCUUGCUUUAGGUGAUUACAAAUAUUUUCUUUCCUAAUAAUAACCAAAACCAUACUAAGACUUGAAUCUGUUCGAUUCUUAAAUUACCAGGCACAAUUUAUGGUACAAGGAGGAAUGAAAUUCUUUAUUCUAUGGGUUAUUUUAUUAAUUUACUUGGUAAAUUAUUUAUGUAUAAAAUUCUUUCUGGCAACUGCU